AAAUUGAAGAGUUUGAUCAUGGCUCAGAUUGAACGCUGGCGGCAGGCCUAACACAUGCAAGUCGAACGGUAGCACAGAGAGCUUGCUCUCGGGUGACGAGUGGCGGACGGGUGAGUAAUGUCUGGGAAACUGCCUGAUGGAGGGGGAUAACUACUGGAAACGGUGGCUAAUACCGCAUAAUGUCGCAAGACCAAAGAGGGGGACCUUCGGGCCUCUUGCCAUCAGAUGUGCCCAGAUGGGAUUAGCUAGUUGGUGAGGUAACGGCUCACCAAGGCGACGAUCCCUAGCUGGUCUGAGAGGAUGACCAGCCACACUGGAACUGAGACACGGUCCAGACUCCUACGGGAGGCAGCAGUGGGGAAUAUUGCACAAUGGGCGCAAGCCUGAUGCAGCCAUGCCGCGUGUAUGAAGAAGGCCUUCGGGUUGUAAAGUACUUUCAGCGGGGAGGAAGGUGUUGUGGUUAAUAACCUCAGCAAUUGACGUUACCCGCAGAAGAAGCACCGGCUAACUCCGUGCCAGCAGCCGCGGUAAUACGGAGGGUGCAAGCGUUAAUCGGAAUUACUGGGCGUAAAGCGCACGCAGGCGGUCUGUCAAGUCGGAUGUGAAAUCCCCGGGCUCAACCUGGGAACUGCAUUCGAAACUGGCAGGCUUGAGUCUUGUAGAGGGGGGUAGAAUUCCAGGUGUAGCGGUGAAAUGCGUAGAGAUCUGGAGGAAUACCGGUGGCGAAGGCGGCCCCCUGGACAAAGACUGACGCUCAGGUGCGAAAGCGUGGGGAGCAAACAGGAUUAGAUACCCUGGUAGUCCACGCCGUAAACGAUGUCUACUUGGAGGUUGUGCCCUUGAGGCGUGGCUUCCGGAGCUAACGCGUUAAGUAGACCGCCUGGGGAGUACGGCCGCAAGGUUAAAACUCAAAUGAAUUGACGGGGGCCCGCACAAGCGGUGGAGCAUGUGGUUUAAUUCGAUGCAACGCGAAGAACCUUACCUGGUCUUGACAUCCACGGAAGUUUUCAGAGAUGAGAAUGUGCCUUCGGGAACCGUGAGACAGGUGCUGCAUGGCUGUCGUCAGCUCGUGUUGUGAAAUGUUGGGUUAAGUCCCGCAACGAGCGCAACCCUUAUCCUUUGUUGCCAGCGGUCCGGCCGGGAACUCAAAGGAGACUGCCAGUGAUAAACUGGAGGAAGGUGGGGAUGACGUCAAGUCAUCAUGGCCCUUACGACCAGGGCUACACACGUGCUACAAUGGCGCAUACAAAGAGAAGCGACCUCGCGAGAGCAAGCGGACCUCAUAAAGUGCGUCGUAGUCCGGAUUGGAGUCUGCAACUCGACUCCAUGAAGUCGGAAUCGCUAGUAAUCGUGGAUCAGAAUGCCACGGUGAAUACGUUCCCGGGCCUUGUACACACCGCCCGUCACACCAUGGGAGUGGGUUGCAAAAGAAGUAGGUAGCUUAACCUUCGGGAGGGCGCUUACCACUUUGUGAUUCAUGACUGGGGUGAAGUCGUAACAAGGUAACCGUAGGGGAACCUGCGGUUGGAUCACCUCCUUA
rnacentral:rRNA from 2 species